UUCAGUUGACCUUAAUACCUUGAAGUGUGAUGUACAAAUCAUGCUUGAUGUGGUAGGAAGUGAUCCAACGGAACAAGCUUGUGAGAAAGAGUGUCAUGUGCUGAUCAAGGUCCAUAGUUGUCCCCUUAUUUGUCAUGCAUUCCAGAAUCUAGUCGUCUACUUCCACGAAACACCAAAGCCUGGAGAUCAGCAUGCCCACUGCGGGGGACUAGCACUAACAACUGCCUCUGCUUAAAUUUACAGUAUGAAGAAUUAAAAACUAAUGUGAUCAGAAA